rnacentral:rRNA from 1 species
AGAGUUUGAUCAUGGCUCAGAUUGAACGCUGGCGGCAGGCCUAACACAUGCAAGUCGAACGGUAACAGGAAACAGCUUGCUGUUUCGCUGACGAGUGGCGGACGGGUGAGUAAUGUCUGGGAAACUGCCUGAUGGAGGGGGAUAACUACUGGAGACGGUAGCUAAUACCGCAUAACGUCGCAAGACCAAAGAGGGGGACCCUCGGGCCUCUUGCCAUCGGAUGUGCCCAGAUGGGAUUAGCUUGUUGGUGGGGUAACGGCUCACCAAGGCGACGAUCCCUAGCUGGUCUGAGAGGAUGACCAGCCACACUGGAACUGAGACACGGUCCAGACUCCUACGGGAGGCAGCAGUGGGGAAUAUUGCACAAUGGGCGCAAGCCUGAUGCAGCCAUGCCGCGUGUAUGAAGAAGGCCUUCGGGUUGUAAAGUACUUUCAGCGGGGAGGAAGGGAGUAAAGUUAAUACCUUUGCUCAUUGACGUUACCCGCAGAAGAAGCACCGGCUAACUCCGUGCCAGCAGCCGCGGUAAUACGGAGGGUGCAAGCGUUAAUCGGAAUUACUGGGCGUAAAGCGCACGCAGGCGGUUUGUUAAGUCAGAUGUGAAAUCCCCGGGCUCAACCUGGGAACUGCAUCUGAUACUGGCAAGCUUGAGUCUCGUAGAGGGGGGUAGAAUUCCAGGUGUAGCGGUGAAAUGCGUAGAGAUCUGGAGGAAUACCGGUGGCGAAGGCGGCCCCCUGGACGAAGACUGACGCUCAGGUGCGAAAGCGUGGGGAGCAAACAGGAUUAGAUACCCUGGUAGUCCACGCCGUAAACGAUGUCGACUUGGAGGUUGUGCCCUUGAGGCGUGGCUUCCGGAGCUAACGCGUUAAGUCGACCGCCUGGGGAGUACGGCCGCAAGGUUAAAACUCAAAUGAAUUGACGGGGGCCCGCACAAGCGGUGGAGCAUGUGGUUUAAUUCGAUGCAACGCGAAGAACCUUACCUGGUCUUGACAUCCACGGAAGUUUUCAGAGAUGAGAAUGUGCCUUCGGGAACCGUGAGACAGGUGCUGCAUGGCUGUCGUCAGCUCGUGUUGUGAAAUGUUGGGUUAAGUCCCGCAACGAGCGCAACCCUUAUCCUUUGUUGCCAGCGGUCCGGCCGGGAACUCAAAGGAGACUGCCAGUGAUAAACCGAGGAAGGUGGGGAUGACGUCAAGUCAUCAUGGCCCUUACGACCAGGGCUACACACGUGCUACAAUGGCGCAUACAAAGAGAAGCGACCUCGCGAGAGCAAGCGGACCUCAUAAAGUGCGUCGUAGUCCGGAUUGGAGUCUGCAACUCGACUCCAUGAAGUCGGAAUCGCUAGUAAUCGUGGAUCAGAAUGCCACGGUGAAUACGUUCCCGGGCCUUGUACACACCGCCCGUCACACCAUGGGAGUGGGUUGCAAAAGAAGUAGGUAGCUUAACCUUCGGGAGGGCGCUUACCACUUUGUGAUUCAUGACUGGGGUGAAGUCGUAACAAGGUAACCGUAGGGGAACCUGCGGUUG